rnacentral:rRNA from 1 species
AACGAACGCUGGCGGCAGGCCUAACACAUGCAAGUCGAGCGCCCCGCCAGGGGCGCGGCGGACGGGUGAGUAACGCGUGGGAAUAUGCCCUUUGCUACGGAAUAGUCUCGGGAAACUGGGGGUAAUACCGUAUACGCCCUUUGGGGGAAAGAUUUAUCGGCGAAGGAUUAGCCCGCGGUGGAUUAGGUAGGUGGUGGGGUAAUGGCCUACCAAGCCGACGAUCCAUAGCUGGUUUGAGAGGAUGAUCAGCCACACUGGGACUGAGACACGGCCCAGACUCCUACGGGAAGCAGCAGUGGGGAAUCUUAGACAAUGGGGGCAACCCUGAUCUAGCCAUGCCGCGUGAGUGAUGAAGGCCUUAGGGUUGUAAAGCUCUUUCAGCUGGGAGGAUAAUGACGGUACCAGAAGAAGAAGCCCCGGCUAACUCCGUG